AAUGGACGAAAGUCUGACGCAGCAACGCCGCGUGGGUGAUGAAGGUCUUCGGAUUGUAAAACCCUGUCGUCAGGGACGAAGGUUGGGGCCUUAAUACGGUUUCAACUUGACGGUACCUGGAGAGGAAGCCCCGGCUAACUCUGUGCCAGCAGCCGCGGUAAUACAGAGGGGGCAAGCGUUAUUCGGAAUUACUGGGCGUAAAGGGCGCGUAGGCGGUUUUUUAAGUCGGAUGUGUAAUCCCCGAGCUCAACUUGGGAACUGCAUCCGAAACUGGGAAGCUAGAGUACUGGAGAGGGUGGUAGAAUUCCACGUGUAGCGGUGAAAUGCGUAGAGAUGUGGAGGAAUACCAGUGGCGAAGGCGGCCACCUGGACAGUAACUGACGCUGAGGCGCGAAAGUGUGGGGAGCAAA
rnacentral:rRNA from 1 species